GCAUCCUUGAUGCCCAUUCGGGCCUCUUGGUUGUUGCAUCGACGUAACAAAACCCCGGCACGGAAUGUGCCAAGGAAAUUUAAAGUAAAGAAUGGCUCGUUCCAUGAUGUCCCGUUCGCGGUGCGUUCAUGGAGCAUGGCUUCUUUUUAAUCACAAACGACUCUCGGCAACGGAUAUCUCGGCUCACGCAUCGAUGAAGAACGUAGCAAAAUGCGAUACUUGGUGUGAAUUGCAGAAUCCCGUGAACCAUCGAGUUUUUGAACGCAAGUUGCGCCCGAAGCCA
rnacentral:rRNA from 1 species